rnacentral:lncRNA from 1 species
UGCUUUAAUAAAGAAGUGUUACUAGAGAACUGUCUCCAGCAUGUUAUAUCAGGAGAGCUGAAAUCACAAACCCCACGUCACAACAACUGGCGACGAAGGUGGGAUCCGGAAUGCUGAGGAGCGGUUAAACGCAGCCCUGCCUCAGAGUCCGGAUUGCAGCUAAGAACAAGACUCACUGACCAGCUGAGAAGACGACCCUGCCACAGGACAAUGGAGAGUCCAAGGGUAUUGGAGCCCUUCCAGCCAUCAGAGCCCGACACGUGGGAAGACUACGUCGAACGCUUCGAGUUCUUCGCAGAGGCUCAAGGGAUCACCGAUGCCAGCAAAAGAAGGGCCACAUUCCUGAGCUACUGUGGGCCUGAGACCUUCAAGCUGGCCAAGGCAUUGCUUGCUCCAGCGAAGCUAAGUGAGACAUCUCUCAAAGAUAUUCUUGCCUGCCUAACAAGCCACUUGGCGCCUACUGAGACCAAGAUGGCUCGGCGGAUGGAGUUUCAUAAGAGGCAGCAGCAUGCUGGGGAGUCUGUAUCUGCAUUUCUGGCUGAACUGCGGAAGCUCGCUCAGCACUGCGACUUCCAAAAUCUGGAAGAGACUCUCCUGGAUCGGUUUAUCGGUGGUCUGAGCAGCAAGAAGGCCAGAAGACGCAUCGUGGCUAAAGAAGAGGUUACCCUUGCUUCAGCCUUGAAGGAGGCCACCGCCACGGAGAAUUAUGAAAGAGAGGAGCUUGAUGCCAGUCGCAAGGCCCCUAAGCCACAGAUAGAAGUUGCGCAUGCCAUGGACGAGCUAGAGGCUACUCCGAGCCAGAGCCCAGUCCGUGGGGUCGAGUCAGUGAGUCAGGCCUGCACAGUGCACAAAGAUCACCGAGGCAGGUGCCCAGGUUGUGGCGGAAACCAUGAGCGGAAGAGUUGUCGUUUCCGGGAUGCUAUGUGCCGGACGUGCGGGAAGACAGGUCACAUCGCCAGAGUCUGUAGAUCGGCGGCGUUGGGAGCGACAGGAGCACCUAGACCGGAGCAUCGCAGACCGCCCGCAGCAACCCAUUUUCUAAAGGACUGCCACUACGUUACGGAGAUCAACGGGAGGGUCGUGCAGUUCCCAGCACAAGGCAAGGCACACGUCAAGGUGAAGAUUGAGGGUCAGCAGUGCGACAUGGAGGUGGACUCCGGAUCUGGAUUCACUAUCGUGUCGGACCAGACCGCGAGGACAUUCUUCCCCAGGGGUAAGUUGCCCCCUCUGGAACCCUUCCCGGCAACCUUGCAGUCAUACUCAGCGGGCCGCAUCCAUGUUAUGGGAAUGUGUGCCGUGAGAGUACAGUUCCGGGACAAACAGGCUGUACUCAAACUGGUGAUUGCGAAGGGCAGUCGCCCCAGUCUCCUGGGCACUGACUGGUUCCCCGCCCUGGGACUGAGUAUAUCAGGGCUUAAUUCAAUCCAAACCUGCCCUGAGAUGAGCGAGGCAUUAUGCAAAGAAUUUGCUGGUCUCUUUAAUGGAAAACUGGGUUGUUAUAAAGGGCCCCCAGUUGACUUCGAGUUGGACCCUGGGGUGGCCCCAAUCCGACUCAAACCAAGGCGAGUGCCAUUUGCACUGCAACCCAAGAUCGAAGCAGAGCUGGAUAAAUUGGUCAAGCAGGGAGUUCUCUCACCCGUGGACUCUGCUAAGUGGGAGACUCCAAUCGUCACGCCCCUUAAAGCAAAUGGGGAAGUCAGGAUCUGUGCAGAUUACAAAUGUACUAUCAAUAAGGCACUCAGGGGAAACUCAUACCCCAUUCCAGUCGUAUCACAUCUGUUGGCUAAACUGGCUGGGGGCAAGGUGUUCGCCAAAAUUGACCUGGCACAAGCUUACCAACAGCUGCCAGUAACCCCACAAUCAGCGGAAGCACAGACUAUUGUCACACAUAAAGGGGCGUUCAGAGUUAACAGAUUACAAUUUGGAGUUUGUGUGGCCCCAGGGAUUUUUCAAGGGCUCAUGGAACACCUGUUAAGAGGUCUGCCGGGGGUCUUGCCAUUUUUGAUGACGUUUUGAUUGCUGGAAAAGACCCACAGGAACUGGUUGCGCGUGUUUGUGCAGUGUUGCUCAAGUUCAAGGAGGUGGGGUUGCAACUGAAAAGGAAAAAUGCAGUUUUGGGGUGCCAACUGUGGAUUUCUUGGGGUUUAAAAUUGAUGCAUCAGGCAUCCACCCCACAGAUGCUAAGAUUAAGGCCAUCAUCGAGGCGCCACGACCACAGAACAAGACGGAGUUGCAGUCAUUCCUGGGACUUAUUAACUUUUAUCAUUCGUUCUUACCCCAGAAAGCUUCGGUAGCUGAACCAUUACAUAGACUGUUGCAGAAAAGACUGUGUGGCGAUGGGGGCAGGGGCAGCAGAAGGCUUUUGACUCCUUGCGAGGAAUGCUGAGUAGCAGGAGUGUCCUUGCUCAUUAUGACGAGUCAAAGCCUCUGGUCCUGGCAUGUGAUGCCUCUCAAUACGGCCUGGGGGCGGUGCUAAGUCAUAGGGAACCGGAUGGGUCGGAAAAGCCCAUCUCUUUCUAUUCCCGUACGUUGUCGCCCACGGAGCGCAACUAUGCUCAAAUUGACAAAGAGGCGCUUGCAAUUGUGGCAGGAAUCAAAAAGUUCCAUGAUUAUGUGUACGGUCGCCAUUUCUACAUUGAAACGGACCACAAGCCACUGUUAGGGUUGUUCAACCCGAACAAACAAACGCCACAAAUUCUCUCCCCCAGAAUGUUACGUUGGUCUAUAUUCCUGAACGGGUUCCAGUACACCUUGACCCAUGUGCCGGGGAAACGGUUGUGCCACGCGGAUGCGCUGAGUCGAUUGCCCCUUCCUGGCGGGAGCACUGAGGAUCCUGCUCCAGCGGAGCACAUAAUGAUGCUGGAAACACUUCCGGGGGGCUCCUGUAACGGCUACUGAUAUAGCUGAGAAAACGAGGAAAGAUGCUGUUCUCUCCCGUGUGCUCACUUGGGUGGGGAGGGGGUGGCCGGGUGGUCCGCAUGAAGACAAAUUCAGGCCUUAUGCGACUAGGCAGCACGAGUUGUCCAUGCAUAAGGGUUGUCUCCUGUGGGGAGAUAGGGUCAUCAUUCCAGCACCACUGAGAAACAGGGUUCUUGAGACGCUUCACAUGGGACACCUGGGAAUGGUCAGGAUGAAGUCGCUAGCCCGAUGUUAUGUGUGGUGGCCUGGAAUGGACCAGAACAUAGAACAAUGGGUACGAACAUGCAAGGCAUGCCAAGAGGUGCGGCCAGAAGUGGCCAGAGCACCAGUCCACUGGUGGGAGCAGUCCAGAUCUCCCUGGAGCCGGCUGCACUUAGAUUUUGCUGGGCCAUUCCAAGGAAAGGUCUUUUUGGUUAUCGUUGAUGCAUAUUCCAAAUGGUUAGAAGUGGCGAUGGUCCCUAGCAUGGCAUCAGCUGCCGUCAUCAAGGUGUUGAGGCAGCUGUUUGCAACCCACGGGUUACCUGAGACCAUUGUAUCAGAUAAUGGGGCAGCUUUUGUAUCCCAAGAAUUCAGGGCAUUCUUGGCUGAUAACUUCAUAAGAGGGGUAACAUCCGCGCCCUUUCACCCAUCCUCCAAUGGGCAGGCUGAGCGCAUGGUAAGAACAGCCAAAGAAUCCAUUGCGCGCUUAAUGGAGGGUAACUGGUCAGCUCGCAUCGCGCGAAUGUUAUUUUUGCAGCAUGCGACGCCGUGUACCGCAACGGGCAAGUCGCCAGCUGAGCUGCUCUUGGGUAGGAGACUGGUAACGGUGCUGGAUUAUGUCCACCCGGAUAAAAUGCCAAACCAUAAUUCAAGAGCAACCCCCCAGGCUGAGACUGACACAACAAGGUAUCUCGCCCCUGAAGAUCUGGUCUGGGUGAGGAACUAUUCACGAGGUUCGCGGUGGGUGGCUGGUGUGGUCACCCGGGCUAGUGGACCUGUGUCCUAUUAUGUGACCUUGGAAAAUGGGCAAGUGUGGAAGAGACAUAUAGAUCAGCUGAGGCGCCGGGCGCUCAGCAGGGAGGAGCCAGAUAAUUCAUCCCAGGCUAACGACGCAGAGCCGCAAGACCAGAGUGAAAAUGGCCCAAAGGUGCAAUCACCAGGGGCUUUAACAAAUGAACCAGGGUCUGCUAGUCCUCACGAUGACGAGGUACAGAUAGGGGACCCUGAGAUGUCGGGGACUCCAUCUGUUCCUGACGAAACCCCUAGAGCAGCCCCUCUACCACAGGUAACACCCAAUCCUGAACCUGCAACACCUGUUGUCAGGAGAUCAAGUAGAAGUUGUAGGCCCCCACAGUACCUGAGAGAUUACGUCUGCUGUGCUCACUAGGGGGGAAGGGGUGUUGUGUAUUGAGUCAAAGGAUUUUAUAUCUGUAUUAUUAUUGUCUGUAUUUGCAUUAGGGUAAAGUAACUGCCUUUUGGUUCUAGAGGGUACAGCUACUAUUGGUUCAUUUAAGCUGCUGUAUUUGGAUCCUCUGUCUUAUUGGUUCCCUCCAAAAGGCAGGACUGUGAUUGCCUGAUAUUGUUCCCUCCAAAAUGUAUCCUUUCUUGCUAGUUCCCUGUCCCUAUAAAUGUAGCUUUCCUCUCCCCAGUCUUUAGUCUUGUGCUUUAAUAAAGAAGUGUUACU